rnacentral:tRNA from 1 species
AUUCGGGGUCACGGGGCCCGCGAACGAUCAGCUCUCCCAACUCCCCGUCGUGCCUUUUGCACUC